GUGCUUCUGAUUUGCUUAUUGCACCACAUGUGUUUUUCUUUGAAACAAACUUGCUUUGGCGGUGGGCCCAGCCUGCCGCCAGAGGUCUAAACUUACAACCAAUUUUUUAUCAACUUGUCACACCAGAUUAUUACUAAUAGUCAAAACUUUCAACAACGGAUCUCUUGGUUCUCGCAUCGAUGAAGAACGCAGCGAAAUGCGAUACGUAAUAUGAAUUGCAGAUAUUCGUGAAUCAUCGAAUCUUUGAACGCACAUUGCGCCCUCUGGUAUUCCGGAGGGCAUGCCUGUUUGAGCGUCGUUUCUCCCUCAAACCGCUGGGUUUGGUGUUGAGCAAUACGACUUGGGUUUGCUUGAAAGACGGUAGUGGUAAGGCGGGAUCGCUUUGACAAUGGCUUAGGUCUAACCAAAAACAUUGCUUGCGGCGGUAACGUCCACCACGUAUAUCUUCAAACUUUGACCUCAAAUCAGGUAGGACUACCCGCUGAACUUAAGCAUAUCAAAAGCCGGGGAGGAA
rnacentral:rRNA from 1 species